UUUGGCCCGUCCCGUACAUUAAGGUUACUGUAAAGUGAAAAAAAUGUGAAAUAUCAUUUUUCAAAAUAAUUGUGGCAUCAUGUUUGUAUUUAGGUUUCAGGUUGCUUACUAUAAGAUGAACUUAAACCCAAAGUUGAGGCACUCAACUCCCAUUAUUUUCUGAGUUAUUGAAGUUUACGUAACAAAGUUAGUCGUUAACUAAAAAUUCUCCUUGCGAUGAACCAAAAGUUGUCGAGACUUGAUUUUUGUUUUACAAGUUCUUUAUUGAUUUGCCUAUCUCGUAGCAAAGCCGGAUUUCCAAAAUUCCAACAUGAAACAGGAAUUUUUCUCAAAAAACACAAAAAAACACCAAAAAAUUGCAAAAUUUUACCAAAUUUCAGUAAAAAAUUCAAAACGCAUUUUCCAAACAGAAAUUGCAGCUUAUCUAUGCAUAUAUUGUGAAAUCCGGCUUUGCUAGUCUGUUUGCAUGUUCAUUGGGCCUUAAAAUAAAAAAUCACACCUUCGUAAACUUUUUGGUUCAUCGCAAGGAGAAUUUUUAGUAAACGACUAAAAUAACACUAAAACCCUCAUAACUUUGGAACUAAUGGGAGUUGGGAGUCCAGUCUGUGGCUGUAAAAGUUUUUUAUAGUAAGCAACUAAAUCACCAAAAACCAAAGCACUGCCACCUAUACUUUAGAAGAUAGUUUUUUCACCUUACAGUAACCUUA